CGCCAGCCCAAGGCGCAUCUGGCCGUUUAGCGGGUGGCCACCGGGAGCCCCGGGAGAGUCGUGCAGCGCGGGAAAGAGCGCGGAGCCGCCGCCGUCCCGGCCCGCAAAGUUUGCACUUGGCCGCCGGGCUCAGUCCCCUUCGAAUGCCAGUCUCCGGGUCGACCUGCCUGGCGCAGAGCGUCUGCUAGCUCCGUGCCAAAGUGGACGGGAAUGAGAGAGGUCAUGGGACCUCCCCACCAGGGGUAAAGCGAGGGGGCAGGGGUUGGGGGGGGGGGUGGUGGAAGAAGAUGAAGAACUCACUUGAACUCUUUCUACUUCUUCUCUUGGAUAAUCUCUGGAUGCAUCUGCACUGAAUGACCAUCGCAUUUGUAGCGGUGCCAAAAACUUAUCAAAUGGACUCUGUCUGUCCCUGGGCCCACGUGGAGUGCAGACUGUAGGUGUAAUAAGGACAAUUAUUAAACUAUAUUGGUCACAAAACAAUUUGAUGGAGCGCGGCAAACUACCAAAGUCAAAAUAAUAUAUAAUAAAUCUUUCCCCAAAGGAACAGUCUUGCUUAGACUUUUUAGCUCAUGGAUUCGACAUGGUUCAGAGGACCUAACCUCACACUACGAGUGGGUUCUAGAUCUGCUACUCCCAAUUAGAGCUCACGGAGGAGGAGGUGGGCGGGGUGGGGUGCGGUUCGAACUUUUGCCUCUCAGAGAGAUACAGUGUCAGGGAAGGCCCAAUGGCUACUCUCCUAAGUGUAAGCCUUUAAAUAGGAGAUGUCUUUUUAAGCAAAAUUCCUCCUUGCCCAGAACGCAUGCCACAUAUGUGCCUCGGUUUCUCUGAAAGGACCACAAGCUAG
rnacentral:lncRNA from 1 species